UACGUAGGGUGCAAGCGUUAAUCGGAAUUACUGGGCGUAAAGCGUGCGCAGGCGGCUAUGCAAGACAGAUGUGAAAUCCCCGGGCUUAACCUGGGAACUGCAUUUGUGACUGCAUGGCUAGAGUUUGGCAGAGGGGGGUAGAAUUCCACGUGUAGCAGUGAAAUGCGUAGAUAUGUGGAGGAACACCGAUGGCGAAGGCAGCCCCCUGGGUCAAGACUGACGCUCAUGCACGAAAGCGUGGGGAGCAAACAGG
rnacentral:rRNA from 1 species